AGAGUUUGAUCCUGGCUCAGGACGAACGCUGGCGGCGUGCCUAAUACAUGCAAGUCGAACGCUUCUUUUUCCACCGGAGCUUGCUCCACCGGAAAAAGAGGAGUGGCGAACGGGUGAGUAACACGUGGGUAACCUGCCCAUCAGAAGGGGAUAACACUUGGAAACAGGUGCUAAUACCGUAUAACAAUCGAAACCGCAUGGUUUUGAUUUGAAAGGCGCUUUCGGGUGUCGCUGAUGGAUGGACCCGCGGUGCAUUAGCUAGUUGGUGAGGUAACGGCUCACCAAGGCCACGAUGCAUAGCCGACCUGAGAGGGUGAUCGGCCACAUUGGGACUGAGACACGGCCCAAACUCCUACGGGAGGCAGCAGUAGGGAAUCUUCGGCAAUGGACGAAAGUCUGACCGAGCAACGCCGCGUGAGUGAAGAAGGUUUUCGGAUCGUAAAACUCUGUUGUUAGAGAAGAACAAGGAUGAGAGUAACUGUUCAUCCCUUGACGGUAUCUAACCAGAAAGCCACGGCUAACUACGUGCCAGCAGCCGCGGUAAUACGUAGGUGGCAAGCGUUGUCCGGAUUUAUUGGGCGUAAAGCGAGCGCAGGCGGUUUCUUAAGUCUGAUGUGAAAGCCCCCGGCUCAACCGGGGAGGGUCAUUGGAAACUGGGAGACUUGAGUGCAGAAGAGGAGAGUGGAAUUCCAUGUGUAGCGGUGAAAUGCGUAGAUAUAUGGAGGAACACCAGUGGCGAAGGCGGCUCUCUGGUCUGUAACUGACGCUGAGGCUCGAAAGCGUGGGGAGCAAACAGGAUUAGAUACCCUGGUAGUCCACGCCGUAAACGAUGUCGACUUGGAGGUUGUUCCCUUGAGGAGUGGCUUCCGGAGCUAACGCGUUAAGUCGACCGCCUGGGGAGUACGGCCGCAAGGUUAAAACUCAAAUGAAUUGACGGGGGCCCGCACAAGCGGUGGAGCAUGUGGUUUAAUUCGAUGCAACGCGAAGAACCUUA
rnacentral:rRNA from 1 species